GAUGAACGCUGGCGGCGUGCCUAAUACAUGCAAGUCGAGCGAACGGACGAGAAGCUUGCUUCUCUGAUGUUAGCGGCGGACGGGUGAGUAACACGUGGAUAACCUACCUAUAAGACUGGGAUAACUUCGGGAAACCGGAGCUAAUACCGGAUGAUAUUUUGAACCGCAUGGUUCAAAAGUGAAAGACGGUCUUGCUGUCACUUAUAGAUGGAUCCGCGCUGCAUUAGCUAGUUGGUAAGGUAACGGCUUACCAAGGCAACGAUGCAUAGCCGACCUGAGAGGGUGAUCGGCCACACUGGAACUGAGACACGGUCCAGACUCCUACGGGAGGCAUCAGUAGGGAAUCUUCCGCAAAGGGCGAAAGCCUGACGGAGCAACGCCGCGUGAGUGAUGAAGGUCUUCGGAUCGUAAAACUCUGUUAUUAGGGAAGAACAUAUGUGUAAGUAACUGUGCACAUCUUGACGGUACCUAAUCAGAAAGCCACGGCUAACUACGUG
rnacentral:rRNA from 1 species